rnacentral:rRNA from 1 species
CCAAAAGCUGGCGACCGGCGCACGGGUGAGUAACACGUAUCCAACCUGCCUCAUACUCGGGGAUAGCCUUUCGAAAGAAAGAUUAAUAUCCGAUAGCAUAUAUUUCCCGCAUGGGUUUAUAUUAAAGAAAUCGGUAUGAGAUGGGGAUGCGUUCCAUUAGUUUGUUGGGGGGGUAACGGCCCACCAAGACUACGAUGGAUAGGGGUUCUGAGAGGAAGGUCCCCCACAUUGGAACUGAGACACGGUCCAA